rnacentral:rRNA from 1 species
CAGCCGCCGCGGGAAUACGAAGGGUGCAAGCGUUAAUCGGAAUUACUGGGCGUAAAGCGUGCGUAGGCGGUGAGUUAAGUCUGCUGUGAAAUCCCCGGGCUCAACCUGGGAAUGGCAGUGGAUACUGGCUCGCUAGAGUGUGUCAGAGGAUGGUGGAAUUCCCGGUGUAGCGGUGAAAUGCGUAGAGAUCGGGAGGAACAUCAGUGGCGAAGGCGUCAUCUGGGACAACACUGACGCUGAGGCACGAAAGCGUGGGGAGCAAACAGGAUUAGAUACCCCUGUAGUCCCUGUCUCUUAUACA